UAGUUUCCCCUUCGGGGGCAACGGUGACAGGUGGUGCAUGGUUGUCGUCAGUCGUGUCGUGAGAUGUUGGGUUAAGUCCCGCAACGAGCGCAACCCUUGAUCUUAGUUGCCAUCAUUUAGUUGGGCACUCUAAGGUGACUGCCGGUGACAAACCGGAGGAAGGUGGGGAUGACGUCAAAUCAUCAUGCCCCUUAUGACCUGGGCUACACACGUGCUACAAUGGACGAUACAAACGGUUGCCAACUCGCGAGAGGGAGCUAAUCCGAUAAAGUCGUUCUCAGUUCGGAUUGUAGGCUGCAACUCGCCUACAUGAAGCCGGAAUCGCUAGUAAUCGCGGAUCAGCAUGCCGCGGUGAAUACGUUCCCGGGUCUUGUACACACCG
rnacentral:rRNA from 1 species